GCUCUAAUAGCUUAGUGGUAAAGUAGUGAUCUGAAGAAUCAUUGACAGAGGUUCAAUUCCUUUUUAGAGCA